GACGAACGCUGGCGGCGUGCUUAACACAUGCAAGUCGAACGGAAAGGCCCUGCUUUUGUGGGGUGCUCGAGUGGCGAACGGGUGAGUAACACGUGAGUAACCUGCCCUUGACUUUGGGAUAACUUCAGGAAACUGGGGCUAAUACCGGAUAGGAGCUCCUGCUGCAUGGUGGGGGUUGGAAAGUUUCGGCGGUUGGGGCUGGACUCGCGGCUUAUCAGCUUGUUGGUGGGGUAGUGGCUUACCAAGGCUUUGACGGGUAGCCGGCCUGAGAGGGUUAACGGCCACAUUGGGACUGAGAUACGGCCCAGACUCCAACGGGAGGCAGCAGUGGGGAAUAUUGCAAAAUGGGAGGAAGCCUGAUGCAGCAACGCCGCGUGCGGGAUGACGGCCUUCGGGUUGUAAACCGAUUUCGACUGUGACGAAGCGUGAGUGACGGUAAUGGGUAAAGAAGCACCGGCUAACUACGUG
rnacentral:rRNA from 1 species